rnacentral:miRNA from 1 species
AUACUUUCCAGACAGUCCUUGUAUGUAUGUAUGUAUGUAUGUAUAUGUGUGUGUGUGUGUGUUUAUAUAUUUAUAUAUAUAUAUAUAUAUACAUACAUACAUACAUACAAGGACUGUCCAGAAAGUAU